CGGACGGCUGAGUAACACGUAGGAACAUACCCAAAGUGAGGGAUAACUGCUCGAAAGAGUAGCUAAUACCGCAUGUGAUCUAAGGAUUAAAGCUUCGGCGCUUUGGGAAUGGCCUGCGUUCGAUUAGCUAGUUGGUAAGGUAAAAGCUUACCAAGGCGACGAUCGAUAGCUGGUCUGAGAGGAUGAUCAGCCACACUGGGACUGAGACACGGCCCAG
rnacentral:rRNA from 1 species